GCCAGCAUGACAUACUGGUUUGAGUGUUGGACUAUGACACUGGAGACCAGGGUUCGAUUCCCAGUUUGGCC